GAUGAACGCUAGCUACAGGCUUAACACAUGCAAGUCGAGGGGCAGCAGGGAUUUAGCUUGCUAAAUCCGCUGGCGACCGGCGCACGGGUGCGUAACGCGUAUCCAACUUUCCCGUUACUCAGGGAUAGCCUUCCGAAAAGGGAGAUUAAUACAAGAUGGUAUUCAAAUUCCGCAUGUUAUUUGAAUUAAAGAUUUAUCGGUAACGGAUGGGGAUGCGUGACAUUAGAUAGUAGGCGGGGUAACGGCCCACCUAGUCUACGAUGUCUAGGGGUUCUGAGAGGAAGGUCCCCCACACUGGAACUGAGACACGGUCCAGACUCCUACGGGAGGCAGCAGUGAGGAAUAUUGGUCAAUGGUCGGAAGACUGAACCAGCCAAGUAGCGUGAAGGAUGAAGGUUCUAUGGAUUGUAAACUUCUUUUAUACGGGAAUAAAACCUCCCACGUGUGGGAGCUUGUAUGUACCGUAUGAAUAAGCAUCGGCUAACUCCGUG
rnacentral:rRNA from 1 species